CAAGUUCGAAUCCAAAUAUAAUAUAAUGAUUACAACAUUAAUUGUGCAAAGGGUUACAUAUGAUGAGUAAACUGCAGCAUGCUUAAAGAAACUAUAAGGAAAACCAACAAUCAGUCAACAAGAAUAAACAUCGAUUAUCAUUCACCCAUAAACUUGACUAAAGGACUUUCAACAUUUCCUUUCAUGUGUGUUCAGGGAUUAACACAUACCUGGGAAAUAAAAGGAAAUAAAAUAGUAGGUGAGCUUCAGCAGAUAAAAAGAGCAACAACAACAUAGCAAUCAUCAACACUAAUAGUUCAUUUCAACCAAUAAAGGGUGUUAUACAACCCAGAACCCACUCUUUAUCAAACAGUAAUCGAAACUGAGUUCAAACCAGAUUUUAUUGAAGCAAACUCAAACCAUUUUUCACUCUAAAUGAAAUAGCACUUUUAAAAAGAUCAAAAUCUUAGGUGGAAUCCUAAUGGAACGGUAAACUUUCAGUCCCUUUUAGCCAUUAAAGUUUCUUCCUGAAAAUUCUCAAAUCAAACCAUUUUACUUCUCCGACAAAUCAACCUUCAUUUCAGGCUUAAUAAGUCUAAGAAAGCACAAAGAAACACUCAAUGAAAUAGUGAAAUUAUCUGAAAUGCUUAGCCAUUUCAGAAGCUUCCUAC
rnacentral:lncRNA from 1 species